ACGAACGCUGGCGGCGUGCUUAACACAUGCAAGUCGCACGGUGAAGGGAUCAGCUUGCUGGUUCUGGAUGAGUGGCGAACGGGUGAGUAACACGUGAGUAACCUGCCCCCUUCUUCUGGAUAACCGCAUGAAAGUGUGGCUAAUACGGGAUAUUCUGCGCCUGCUGCAUGGUGGGUGUGGGAAAGAUAUUGUUUCGGUGGGGGAUGGGCUCGCGGCCUAUCAGCUUGUUGGUGGGGUGAUGGCCUACCAAGGCGGUGACGGGUAGCCGGCCUGAGAGGGUGGACGGUCACACUGGGACUGAGACACGGCCCAGACUCCUACGGGAGGCAGCAGUGGGGAAUAUUGCACAAUGGGCGCAAGCCUGAUGCAGCGACGCCGCGUGAGGGAUGGAGGCCUUCGGGUUGUGAACCUCUUUCGCCAGUGAAGCAGGCCUGUCCCUUGUGGGUGGGUUGACGGUAGCUGGAUAAGAAGCGCCGGCUAACUACGUG
rnacentral:rRNA from 1 species